rnacentral:rRNA from 1 species
AGAGUUUGAUCCUGGCUCAGGAUGAACGCUAGCGGCAGGCCUAAUACAUGCAAGUCGAACGGUAAGUGUCCUUCGGGACACGAGAGUGGCGCACGGGUGCGUAACGCGUAUGCAACCAACCCCCGACGGGGGCAUAGCCGGUGGAAACGCCGGAUAAUACCCCAUGGUUCCCUUGGAGGGCAUCCUCCUUGGGAUAAGGAAGCGAUUCGGUCGGGGACGGGCAUGCGUCCCAUUAGCUGGUAGGCGGGGUGACGGCCCACCUAGGCUCCGAUGGGUAGGGGAUCUGAGAGGACGGUCCCCCACACUGGUACUGAGACACGGACCAGACUCCUACGGGAGGCAGCAGUAAGGGAUAUUGGGCAAUGGGGGGAACCCUGACCCAGCCAUGCCGCGUGAGGGAAUGAGGCCCUACGGGUCGUGAACCUCUUUUGCCUGGGGAUAAACCGCCCCGCUGGACGGGGCGCUGCAGGUACCAGGCGAAUAAGCAUCGGCUAACUCCGUGCCAGCAGCCGCGGUAAUACGGAGGAUGCGAGCGUUAUCCGGAUUCAUUGGGUUUAAAGGGUGCGCAGGCGGCGCGUUAAGUCAGCGGUGAAAGGCAGGGGCCCAACCCCGGCAGUGCCGUUGAUACUGGCGCGCUGGAAUGCGGUCGAGGCGGGCGGAAUGUGGCGUGUAGCGGUGAAAUGCAUAGAUAUGCCACAGAACUCCGAUAGCGAAGGCAGCUCGCCAGGCCUGCAUUGACGCUCAGGCACGAAAGCGUGGGGAUCGAACAGGAUUAGAUACCCUGGUAGUCCACGCCGUAAACG